rnacentral:rRNA from 1 species
GACGAACCUUGCAAACGUUAUUCGGAAUCACUGGGCUUAAAGGGUGCGUAGGCUGUGCAGAAAGUUGGGUGUGAAAUACCUCGGCUUAACCGAGGAAUUGCGCCCAAAACUACUGUGCUCGAGGAAGAUAGAGGUGAGCGGAACUUAGGGUGGAGCGGUGAAAUGCGUUGAUAUCCUAAGGAACACCGGUGGCGAAAGCGGCUCACUGGAUCUUAUCUGACGCUGAGGCACGAAAGCCAGGGCAGCAAACGGG